rnacentral:lncRNA from 1 species
GAAAGGGUGGUAUGACUUUUGACCCCUCUAGUGGCUUCCCUGUGUGGUCUGAUCAGCCACAUUGAAAAGCCAUUUGGAUGGUGAAUUUAAGGUCAUUUGUGAUACUGACUUUAAGGACAUUUGUAGAACUGAUAAUUAUGAUGGAGUUAAAGUUCUUAGACACAAUUGAUAAUUUGAACCAAUGAGAAGACAGAAUGACGAUAAGGGUACAAUAAUUUUUCUUUGUGGAGUAGUUUAGAUUAAUAAUUUUGAUCUGAUUAUGUUAUGUGAAUAUCGUUUGAUAAUUAGGGGUACUUUUUACAUUAUCUAGAUACGUUUAUUUUCCCUUAGGAAGUCAGCUGUGGUUGUAUUCAGUGGAAGAGAUUUAACACAACAAGGCUGUGGAAUUAAUAUAAUAGUAUUAUUAUAUUUUGUUGUUGAAUAAGUUUAAUAAUGGUAGACUUAUGUCAAGUAUUAGGAUAUAUUCUAAGCCAACGGACCAGCAUAGUUAAAUUAUAAACAGGUGAGGACAGAAAUAAUACUGGGACAGACAGAAAAUACAUAAUAAGAAUAGAAGAUAGGAAGAGAAUUUAGUUUGGUUCGCUUAGUUAGGAUAUUAAUUCAUGGAGAGACUAUCGGCUCCAUUUGGCAUGUAUUUUAGUUUUGAUUUUAAGUUUAUGUUUGGUAAAUUCGCUAAGAAGAGAUAUGACUGUUUACACAGACAAGCACAUAGGCAUUUAAAACCAUACAAAGCAGCACAGAUAAAUCUUAAAUAAGACACUUGACAGAGAAUUGUUACAGGGUAGCUAAGGAUGAAUGCCCCAGGGAGAAUUGGACAUGUGGAAAAUGAAAGGGGGCAAUCCUACAAGAGAAGGGCUGACAUAAGGAUAAUUUGUUUAGAUAUGCAGCAAUAUUGAUACAUGGCUUGAGCCAUGUAUAAAUAGGGGGAGUAUGGUAGAGCAGGUGAUAGAACAGGUUAGGAUAAACAAGGAUAAUUACUUAAACAAAAACAUUUUUUGUAGAAUAUCCAUUCCAACAUUUGGAAAUGGACUUAGUGAACUAUUCCGAUUGACAUUUACAUUUACAUUUUAGUCAUUUAGCAGACGCUCUUAUCCAGAGCGACUUGCAGUAGUGAAUGCAUACAUUUCAUUUUAGAUUUGAGGGGAAGAAGGGGUGUUUAACAAUAAUAGAUAAGUAUAGCAAAUGGGUAGAAGCGUUCCCAACUUACUUGGUGGACAUGAUUAUGGUAACUAAAAUAUUAAGUCAAGAUAUUAUCCCUAGAGUUGGUUUACUGGGAUCUCUUUAAAUGAUGGAUGACAGUUUAGCUAAUCAGGUAGAGCCUAUAGAAUGCCAGAGUUAGAGAUACCAGAACAGGAAGACAUAGAAGUUGAAGAUAUACUAACAGACACAUGAGAAGACUGUUUGUUAACCAAACCCGUAUGUCCAAGAUUUUGUGUCCAACAGGUGAAUUACAGGAGAAGGUGAUUCACUCAGUACAACUAGGAGACUGGGUGUGGAUCCAGUCCCUGAGGAGAAAAGACUGGAAGCAGCCCUGUUGGGAAGGCCCAUACCAGGUGCUGUUAAACCACUGCCUUUGCCAUUAGAAAAGCUGAGAGAGUCACUUGGGUCCACGUUACCCACUGCAAGAAGGUAUGUACACAUAUGAGCACUGCUGACCACACACAGAGUUAGGAGAAGAACCGAGUACCAACAGGGUCCGGGGGUUACCUCCUUAACGAAGAUUUCCUAUCCCGACCGUUCAUCACUGUGUGUGCUCCUAGAGGUGUGAGUAUGGGGUGGUACCUAGCAGAGAGACUAAGGGCAGGAGAGGGUUAGCGGUUUUUGGGAAGAGUAGAGACUCUGAGCUGCAUCAUAGUCUAAUCUUUCUGAUACAUUCAGAUCCACCACCUUCCGGUACUAAUCA